rnacentral:rRNA from 1 species
UCUGAAUCUGCGUACGGCUCCGCAAACCAGUUGUAAGCAAUAGCAAGGAUGCCCGUCGAACCCGAGGCUCGCGCCCCGGCAAGUAGGCGGGCAACAAGGAUACCCCUGGUAAUCCUGAGGCUAAUACUUGACCGUAACACCUGGCAGCCCUCGCGGCAGCUGGGGRCCGUGCGAUCAUUCAAAGCGGUGGGGAAACCAUCCGGGAAAGGACGCACAGUCAAACCGCGGCAAAAAAGGGUUUGGUGGAACCCCCGGGCCUUCGUGGUCCGGGGGAGAAGCCAUUCCUCGCGGGUCUUGCACUGCGCUUCUGACCUAUCAACUGUAUAGCAGUGUAAGGGACAUGCUAUGGUACAACGGUACAGA